UUGUUUCAUUUCCAUAAAUAAUAUUGCAUCAUACUCUGUAUUCAACCAAACAUCAGGCUGAAAUUCAAUCAUCUAAAUAAAAAAAACCUCUUAAUGACUUGUCAGUUAGCACCGGCCUCGCUUGAACGAAAUCAUUCCCUUUGUGAUUUUUAUCAAGCCACAAGAUAACAUGGCAACAUUUGACAUCGAUGUAAUUCUCCAAUUCCCCUUAUCGUCAGUGGGCAUGCGCACAGAGCGAUCCAACACAGCAUCCAUCCAUCCAUCCAUCCAUCUUCUUCCAGCAGCUAAGCAGAGAAGCCCAGACUUCCCUUUCCAGCUCCUCCCUGAGAGAUACCAAUGGGUUCCCCGGCCAGGUGGGAGACAUAGUUGCUGUAAUGUUAAUUAUACUAUAAUCCUGUACUAAUCCAGAUUGCACAUUUGGCAGCAAUUUCAAACUAACGUGGAAAAUCUGUCAGUCAACUUGACAUGCUUAAUGAUGCCCUAAAUCAUUUCUGGAUAUAAAUCGGUCUCCAGAUAUUAAACUUUAGCUCUUUCUUUCUUUCUCUUUUUUUCUCUCUUUCUAGUCAGAUCCAUGAUGGCAUUCACUGGUUUUGUUAAAAUGCUUCUGUUGUUUUUGUCAAGGCGAAUGUUUGAUGCCUCCUCCUUGAUUAGAUUGUGCAAGUGUACCUAAUGUUGUGGUGGCCUUUGAUGGAUGACAGCACAAUGAUGGCGACAAUAUCCAUCCAUCACGCUAGUAUAUAUAUCGUGGCUACUUCCAGACCUGACUCUGAGGUGGGCAUUGCGGGAGUCGUUGCCGCCCACUGAGGUUACCCUGCAGGUGUACGUCCCAAUGUCUCCGGACCACGUCUGGGAGAUGUGAAGUGUCCCCUCAGAAUCCAGUCGCAGACGGGGAGACGUGUUCACGUCAAUCACAGCACCACUCUUUUCCCACACGUAGCUGGAAGGAAAAAAAAAACACAAAUAUUACAGCCUGUGAGGAUACGUGUAUUUGUAAUCAGAUUUUUUUUUUCAUCGUGCGGCCGCUGUGGUAUAGUGGUUAGCAUUCUGGACAUUCUGGCAAACGCCCUGGGUUCGAAUCUCCACAAGUAAGCAUCAUUGGUAUUCGUCAGGAAGGGCAUCCAGAAUAUAAAGUGCUCAAGACAAAAUCAGUAUGCGGAUCCGCUGUGACUCCGCAAUCAGUAAAAAGCCAAAAGAAACAAACAAAGCAAUUCCAAUACCAUAUAUGUAUCACCAGCUCACAAACACUUCCUCUUUGUCACUUGACUAGCGUAAGAUGCAUUCAAAGACACUCUGAGCAACAACAUGUUUAUUAGGUGAAUAUGCGUGGUCUAAAUGAUUAAUUAAUUUGAAAACUGUGAUUAAUUUCAUUAAUAUUGUAAAUCACUUGACAGCCCUAAUAAAUAAUACUUGAAACUGUUCAAACCUAUUUCUGUCUGCUAAAAAUUAACAUUCUAAACUAUUAGAUGUUAUUAUUAUUGUUUAAAUUUGUGAAGUUUAAAUUGGGAAUAUUAAGAAUUUUUUUUUCAAUGCUACAAUUUUUUUUUCAAACAAAGUCUGAAUAAAAAAGCAAAUAAAAUGACGAGAAUAACGAGAAAAUUGGAAUGACGAGAAUAAUAAUCUUGAAAAAGCCCUGAUAUAAGAAGUUGUGCAUUUCCAAGAAAUUGUAAAACGAACAAUUUUACAAUAUGACAAAUAUUUGUUAAAAAUACCCAACAUUUUUAUUAAUUUUAAGUAAGUAUUAAAGCUGUUUAACUCAAAACUCGGUUUUAUGUGUUUUAUUCCCUUACUGUCCCGUAAAUGAACCUCACAUAAUCUUAAAACCGAGUGACUUACCGAACCAUGAUUAUGGUCUAUCCUCAUCCGCAUCUUCCUCUCCUGUCACAGCCUCAGCGCGCACACCGGAGCGGCGAUGCAGCGAUUAAUUGUGACUGUUGGGGUUCUCCAGCUAAUCUCCUUGGCGCUGCGUUUAAUUAAAGGCGCCGUCUGAAGUUAUUACUCUGUUUACAUAUUCCACUGUUUACCCCGCCAUCCGAUCAAUGCAUGGGCCCACAGGUGACAGGCACUCUAAUCACCGAGCUCCGUAGACAACAUUUCAACCGCCUCUGAGACAGACACACACACACAUAUGAUAUGCAACCCUGUCUAUCUGACUGUAAGACUUGCAUCCCAGAGGAGGUCAUCAGAGGGUGGAUCGACGCUGAUGAGAUUUGUUGUAGAUUUCACAAACUCAUUAAAAGCAGCUGUGAUAGGCACAGACUGAAAAGUCACAAGAAAAUUGGUGAUGAAGUCUGAGGAAACUUUUUGUGUCAUUACCUGACGGUGACGCUGGGGUCGUGGGUCACCCCACAGGUCAUGACUGCUUUGGUGCCCUUGAUGACACUCUGGUCCUGGGGUGGCUUGGUGAUUCGGGUGCGUGCUGCAGACACGUACAAAGGAUAGGUGGGAACAGCAGACGAGGGGAUUAGACUACAGCUUUCACUCAAUGCUUUACAGCAGUGGUCUUCAAUUUAAAUUGAGGAAGGUCCAUUUAUGCAAGUUAAAGGUAAGUAAGGUCCAAACCUGUUUGGCACUGGAUUCUGGAAGAAUGAACAUAUAUUGGCUCGUCCAUUCACAAAAGAAUGGAACAAUGUUCUUACUAUUGAGCAAGCUAUGGUUCUUUUCACUCGGCAAGUGUCAUUUUGACUGACACCACUGUCACAUGACCGUAAUAACUGAACUACUUACACCUGCAAACCGCCGCUAUGAUUGGUCCAUGACUAUGAUUAUAUUAUUAUUAUAUGGUUCCGUAAAAGGCCAUCAUUGGGUCUGUCAUUUGGUGAUGGCUGCUUUAGUGAAUGUGUGACUGAGUCAUACUCAAAACUUCAUGAGGAAACUUUCAUGAGGAAAACGUCAUAUAAUAGAAAAGACUAAAAUCUUCCUGUUAUGAGAAAAACUUUUUCACAAAAUAAAAAGAUUUUCAUUUGUUUUUUUAUGUUUUAAUAUGAGUUAUAAUAUGAAAAUGAGCAUGAAAAAUAUGUUAUUUUAGAAGAAUAAAGUUGUAAUAUGAUAAAAAAAAAGUGUCAUUUUAAAAGAAUGAAGCUGUAAAGUAUGAAAUAAAGUUGUAAUAUUAUCCUAAAAAGUUUCUCCACUCACCCCACACCACAAGGUCUGCAGAUGCUUCAUCAAUACCCCUGGAGUUGCUCGCCAUGCAGGUGUAAGUGCCGGCAUCAGAGAGGUGUGAAGGACUGAUGAGCAGGCUGCCCGACUCUAGCAGCGUGAACCUAGGCAAUUGAACUGAGCCGCUGGCCAGGACACGCUCACCUGCGAGAUGGAUGGCAAAGUAAAAUAAAACAAAGAAAAAGUCAAUAAUGUCAGUCAUUCCGUUUGCCUUUUGCACCUUUCUGCCAGGUGAUGGCUGGUCGUGGGGCUCCAGACGUCUCGCAGUGCAGGAUGACUGACAUGCUGUCAAUCACGGCGCUGUCAGCUGGGCCGGCGGUGAUGUUGGGAGCAAUGCCUGACAGAACACAAUCAGGUGCAACAGAGCAGGCGAGAAACAAAGAGAGCCGACCUCGAGCCUGACAAGGGAUGUCCACCACCUUCUCCAUCUCCGCCGUGAUGUGACUUGGUGGCUCUUUUACGAACAGAGGAUAUUCUGGUUCAAGGAUGGGGAAGAAAAAGCAAACUGUGAGACAUUAACAACUUAAAAAGCUGGAAUGGCACUAUAAAUGUCCACACUAAACAAUAUAAUAUUAAUUCACCAAGUAAAGGCAAUGAAGUACUUUUUAAAAUAACAAUAUUUUUUUUAUUACAAUUUUGGCAGGAAAACAAUUUAUUUUACAGGAAGAGUUAAAUAAAUACAUUAAAAUAAAAUAAAAUACAUAAAACAUACAUAAAAUAUUAAAUAAUAAUUUAAAUGUAUGAAUUUAUUUAAAAAAUUGACUUCAAUUAAAGCCAUAAAUGUGUCAUUAAAUAUGUCAUAAAGUCAUCAAAAUACCAGUUAAUUGUAGGUGAAAACAUUUCAAUCAAUAAUCUAACUUUUUAAUUAUUUCAUGGACCUUUUUUGAAGCUGCGACAUACAUUUUUUUUUCCACUUUCAAAGUGAUCAAUGUCAGAGGGCGGGGUUAACACAAGUCCUGUCCAAUGGUUGCUUUGGUCUGAAGCCUGAAAGUCAUGGCUGAGAGGAUACAGAGGGUAUUUCUCGGGAGUUGUUGAGAUAUCUCUUAGACCAUGUGGAGUAUGUGGAAGCAGGACGUUCAGGAUUUUCUGCAACACAAUUUGAGCUCUAAGCAGGAAUGUUGACCAACGAGAAAAAACACAAGAGAAAAUCAAUACAGUUACUCUGUAUGUAUCGCGGUUAAUUGGUGAUAAGUGACUUUCCGCAAAUUUUCCUUUUUUAUAUAUGGAAUAUUUUCUUAGAGUAGAAAACUAUAGUAAACUUUCUAUAGUAAAUACGAUUUUUUACAUUAUUAAAGCCUUCCAAUCAUGAAAUAACAACCCUAUAGUCACAUUGACAUGUAUAAAUUAUUCAAUCAGAGAAAAUAAUCAAUUGAAGACAAAAUUUAACUUGGGCUUCCGUGUUGCUGGAAAUGAUGUCAGCAGUUAUGGCCGUGUUAUUAUUAUGAUU